CAUUGGAUAACUUGGCGAAACGCCAAGCUAAUACAUGAACCAACGGGACGCUCUCUGUUCCGGCGGUGGGGCAACUCACCGCCAUGGGACGUCCAGCGAAUGAAUGAAAGUAAAAUCAAUGCCUUAACCGGCAGUAACACCCAGAAGUGUUGACUCAAUUCAUUCCGUGCGAAAGCCGGGUUUUACCCGGCGUCUUUUGACGAACAACUGCCCUAUCAGCCAGUGAUGGCCGUGUAGUGGACUGCCAUGGCGUUGACGGGAGCGGGGGAUUAGGGUUCGAUUCCGGAGAGGGAGCCUGAGAAAUAGCUACCACUUCUACGGAGGGCAGCAGGCGCGCAAAUUGCCCAAUGUCAAAAAAAACGAUGAGGCAGCGAAAAGAAAUAGAGCCGACGGUGCCUAGUGCAUUGUCGUAUUCAAUGGGGGAUAUUUAAACCCAUCCAAAAUCGAGUAACAAUUGGAGGACAAGUCUGGUGCCAGCACCCGCGGUAAUUCCAGCUCCAAAAGCGUAUAUUAAUGCUGUUGCUGUUAAAGGGU
rnacentral:rRNA from 1 species